UUUUUUAUAGUGUAAGUAACACGUAGUCCUUUCAAGACUAAGCUAACCCUCCUGUUUAAAAAUA
rnacentral:tRNA from 1 species